rnacentral:rRNA from 1 species
UGCAGUCGAGGGGCAGCGGAGAGGUAGCAAUACCUUUGCCGGCGACCGGCGCACGGGUGAGUAACACGUAUGCAAUCCACCUGUAACAGGGGGAUAACCCGGAGAAAUCCGGACUAAUACCCCAUAAUAUGGGCGCUCCGCAUGGAGGGUCCAUUAAAGAGAGCAAUUUUGGUUACAGACGAGCAUGCGCUCCAUUAGCCAGUUGGCGGGGUAACGGCCCACCAAAGCGACGAUGGAUAGGGGUUCUGAGAGGAAGGUCCCCCACAUUGGAACUGAGACACGGUCCAAACUCCUACGGGAGGCAGCAGUGAGGAAUAUUGGUCAAUGGUCGGCAGACUGAACCAGCCAAGUCGCGUGAGGGAAGACGGCCCUACGGGUUGUAAACCUCUUUUGUCGGAGAGUAAAGUGCGCUACGCGUAGCGUAUUGCAAGUAUCCGAAGAAAAAGCAUCGGCUAACUCCGUGCCAGCAGCCGCGGUAAUACGGAGGAUGCGAGCGUUAUCCGGAUUUAUUGGGUUUAAAGGGUGCGUAGGCGGCACGCCAAGUCAGCGGUGAAAUUUCCGGGCUCAACCCGGACUGUGCCGUUGAAACUGGCGAGCUAGAGUGCACAAGAGGCAGGCGGAAUGCGUGGUGUAGCGGUGAAAUGCAUAGAUAUCACGCAGAACCCCGAUUGCGAAGGCAGCCUGCUAGGGUGCGACAGACGCUGAG